rnacentral:rRNA from 1 species
UACGUAGGUGACAAGCGUUGUCCGGAUUUACUGGGCGUAAAGAGCGCGCAGGCGGUCGUUCAAGUCGAGCGUGAAAGCCCCCGGCUCAACUGGGGAGGGUCACUCGAUACUGAUCGACUCGAAGGCAGGAGAGGGAAGUGGAAUUCCCGGUGUAGUGGUGAAAUGCGUAGAUAUCGGGAGGAACACCAGUGGCGAAGGCGACUUCCUGGCCUGUUCUUGACGCUGAGGCGCGAAAGCUAGGGGAGCAAACGGG